AACGAACGCUGGCGGCAGGCUUAACACAUGCAAGUCGAACGCACCUUUCGGGGUGAGUGGCAGACGGGUGAGUAACGCGUGGGAAUCUACCCUUCUCUACGGGAUAGCUCCGGGAAACUGGAAUUAAUACCGUAUACGUCCUGAGGGCGAAAGAUUUAUCGGGGAAGGAUGAGCCCGCGUUGGAUUAGCUAGUUGGUGGGGUAAAGGCCUACCAAGGCGACGAUCCAUAGCUGGUCUAAGAGGAUGAUCAGCCACAUUGGGACUGAGACACGGCCCAAACUCCUACGGGAGGCAGCAGUGGGGAAUAUUGGACAAUGGGCGCAAGCCUGAUCCAGCCAUGCCGCGUGAGUGAUGAAGGCCCUAGGGUUGUAAAGCUCUUUCAGGGGGGACGAUAAUGACGGUACCCACAGAAGAAGCCCCGGCUAACUUCGUG
rnacentral:rRNA from 1 species